rnacentral:rRNA from 1 species
CGGUGUUUAACUGGCGUGAUGUGGGACGUCCUACCGGGUGGGGCUUAGCCCUCGCGAGGGGGCGGCCCCAACCUAAUAUCCCGUCGCGGUGCUCUUACUGAGUGUCGAGUCGGGCCGGUACGUUUACUUUGAACAAAUUAGAGUGCUUAAAGCAGGCUAUCCUCGCCUGAAUACUGCGUGCAUGGAAUAAUGGAAUAGGACCUCGGUUCUAUUUUGUUGGUUUUCGGAACCCCGAGGUAAUGAUUAAUAGGGACAGAUGGGGGCAUUCGUAUUGCGACGUUAGAGGUGAAAUUCUUGGAUCGUCGCAAGACGGACAGAAGCGAAAGCAUUUGCCAAAAAUGUUUUCAUUAAUCAAGAACGAAAGUUAGAGGUUCGAAGGCGAUCAGAUACCGCCCUAGUUCUAACCAUAAACGAUGCCAGCUAGCGAUCCGCCGAAGUUCCUCCGAUGACUCGGCGGGCAGCUUCCGGGAAACCAAAGCUUUUGGGUUCCGGGGGAAGUAUGGUUGCAAAGCUGAAACUUAAAGGAAUUGACGGAAGGGCACCACCAGGAGUGGAGCCUGCGGCUUAAUUUGACUCAACACGGGAAACCUCACCAGGCCCAGACACCGGAAGGAUUGACAGAUUGAUAGCUCUUUCUUGAUUCGGUGGGUGGUGGUGCAUGGCCGUUCUUAGUUGGUGGAGCGAUUUGUCUGGUUAAUUCCGAUAACGAACGAGACUCUAGCCUGCUAAAUAGGCGUACCUUAUGGUAUCGCGAAGGCCCCCGGCUUCGGCCGGUGGGUUUUUACUACCAACGUACAAACAAAUCUUCUUAGAGGGACAGGCGG